CUCGGCAAAUUAUCCUCAUAAGUUCGACAAGAAGAGGGGCUAUUAGUAUUUAGAAUAAAUAUAAGACUUCUUCCUUAUUCUUUAUAUUAGUAGUGGCACAAAAAUGGGAGCCCCGACUGUUUACUAAAAACACAGCUAUCUGCAAAGACGUAAGUCAUAGUAUAGGUAGUGAGGUUUGCUCAAUGUCCGUAGCAUAAAAUUAGUAAUUGGCAACAGUUACGACUUGAAAGCCGGAUGAAUAGCGGUCUUAACUAUGAGGAUCCUAAGGUAGCAAAAUCAAUUGGCCGUUAAAUGCGGUCCGGAAUCAAUAAUUUAACGAUGGCUCUGCUGUCUCUACAACUUGCUCAGUGAAAUUGAAUUGCACGUGCAGAUGCGUGCGCAACCAUCAGUGGGACGGGAAAGUUAAAAAAAAUAACGCUGAUGUAAAAUAAAAAGCGACUAGAUAAGUUUACAAUAACAAUGUGGCGAAACCCCACCAAAUAACUCGUAAUUUGAGCUCUUUUCAGCGUGUUAAACUAGUAAUAGGAAAACAUGAAGCACUGAUUUUAGAGCUAGAUAUUUAAGGGCAAUGUAAUGUGAAUCCAUGGCUGAAGCUCAAUAAGAUAGUAGAAAAACGUUCCCGAGUUUUUCUUAAUGAGUCGUAAUUCUUAUUGCGUAUAGUGGAGUCCUAAUUAUAUCAUUAAAGUGUUAUUGUAGGAACUAGGUAAGCCCAAUAGGAAUCAAGU
rnacentral:rRNA from 1 species